ACCCGUGGGGGUCUUUCCGCCCCUUUCGGGGAGACGUUGCGGGCAGCGUGUGUGGCCGGACGGGGCACCCGUCCCGCGGGGCUGCAGGAUCAGCCGCCCCGCCGCAGCCCCACUUUGUUCCCCCGCUCCGCGGGGCGCGGAGAAAGGCGCGGGGGGCGCGGAUCCAUCUCCCGCCGCCUCAGGAUGCCAGACCGCCCCGCGGGGGGAGGGAGGAGGGAAAACAUCAAAAAACGGAAAGGGUUUGGAGUUUCGUUAAGAAACAAGCGAAACAAAACGCUGAGUUAAAAGAAUAAAAUAAAAGCCAAGAACUUGGACCAAAACCCCAGAGGGAACCCCCCCGCACGUAACUCCGGGAGAUCCUGCUGUCCCGCUCCGCUGCCCAGCGCGGUCCCGGCUCGCCGCAAGCCAGUCCUGCUCUCCAAGGGCUCCCAGACCUGCUGCUCCUUUGCGCCACUGGUAAUGCACUGUUCGGAAGUAGGACAAGACCUGCCCAUGUUCAGCAAUGGGAGUCACAGUGAGCAGAAGCAAUUAGCUAAACUCUGUGCAAAGGUCCCUUUCCAACUGGUUUGUGAAGAGCCCUUUUUACAUGGGAUAUAUGCUCUUUUCUAGGGUGGGAGAGAGAUCAGUUCCCUUCUUUGACUGAUUUCUUAUUCUGAACUGCACAGGCCAUGCUGGAGGAGUUGAGGCAUUGGCUCACCAAACUGGAAAGAAUACAGGCAGUGAGAUCUUGUCUUGGGUGAAAGAAGAGUUAACGCAGCUGGCAAAGGAGAAAAACAUCAGAAGAAAACAUAUUGACAAAGCUAAUAAAAUCCAGACAUGUGCAAUCUAAAAUCUCAAAUGUGAUUCAAGCCUACUCAACAAAAAAUGGCCUGGGAUGGCAAACAGCACCAGAAAGCUCAAGAAGUAUCUGUACUGGCCAAGUCUGGAAAUGACCACAAGAAUUUUGUUCAAAAAAUCGUUGGUGGCUCACAGCCUUUAAAUGUUUCUAAGAACAGACUUAAAUUUCUAAACCCCAAGAUGAAAGUUCAAAUUCUUAUACACAUAAUUUAAAGUAAGCUACAAUGAAAGAAGUGUGAGCCUGUAAAUGAGGAGUUUCAAAUGAAAGAGGUGGUUGAAGCAUUUUGACCCUAUUCAAUCAAGGUCGGUUUUCCCCUGAAUUAUAUCUGUUUCCUUGUCUAGCAUUUUAGAUACCUUCCAAGUGUCUAUCGACGAGAGUUUAUAAGUGGCAUUCAACAAUGAAGAAGAAAGCAAGCUGCUCACAAAGCUCCCCCUUUCCCCAUGUGAUAAAAAGCACUGUUCCAGGGGAAAAGAAAAAAGAGUGUUUGGGUCCCAGUCAUAAGUGCCUAUGGGAAAGGAGUGGUGAAAAGAGGCCAACAACUCCAGGAAACAGGGACAGGAGGGAAGAGCACAAAUCAGCUUUAUGAGCUAGCAAAUGAUGGAUGGCUAAAUGCCAGCUGAGAGAAUUAUAUACAAUUGAGUUUGUAUUGUUGCAAUUAUUAAAGGUUUUUUUACUUUUAA